rnacentral:tRNA from 1 species
GGGUUGCUAGCUCAGUGGUAGAGCAUUCGGCUUUUAACCGAUUGGUCCUGGGUUCGAAUCCCAGGUGACCCA